rnacentral:lncRNA from 1 species
GAUGUGCAUGAACCAUUCAUGGCACUGUUUGUGCUCCCAUGACGGUUGUUGGGCUGGUGGCUACAAUUAUCUUUCCUUGAGCUUAAGUGAGAGAAAAGUUGCGAUUCACUUUUAGCCUAGGAUGUAAAGUUGUUUUGUAUUUGUCAAUAUUACUUUGUUUCUGUGUUUGUCUAAUGUCUUAUCACUUUGUGGUUGAAUUACUUGUCGGUAGUUGAGGUGUUAUUAACUCCCCAAUACUAAUAUUAAAUUUCAAUAGUCAAUGCAAAAGUAUAUUAUUAACUUUAUUGCAAUCAAAAUAUUUUUUAGGUCAUGCAUAUUGAAG